UGAUGUUGUAACCUGCUGUCGGGAAUGCAUGAACUGAUUGAAAACUGUUUACCUUCAAUGCGAUGCAGUCGCUUUGGAUAAUGGGACCUGACAAAUGCAUAAAUGUAAAGAAUCACAUGGACAUAUUGCAGCUCGGGGAAAAUCUGCCCUGUGGAGAACAGUGACAGCCCAAGGACGUGUUCUGAAGGCCUUCAGACAAUUUGGAGAGAAAAAAUGUGCUAAAACCACUGUAAACUCCUCAAACCAGCUCUCCAGAGAGGAGCCAUGAAAAACAUCAGUAGAAGAACAUCUCAGGGUGACAUCCCUGUGGACCUCAGAGUAAGGAAUGACCAUAAAGAGACCCCUGUGUUUCACCCCCAUGUCCUGAUUGAGAGAGGUCAGAGGUCAUGAGGAGCAUGGAUAUGUCCAUUCCCAAAGGGGCUGAAGGGUAAUGGAAUGGCAGAUUCAAGCCAAACGAAGCAAUUUGCGCUUGUCCCACCGGAACCUGGAAGAAAAGCGAAAGACAUGAAUUUGACCGAGGCAGUAUAACAAUAGAGCCAGGAGCCCUCUUCACCCCUCAGACAGCCCAACAUCCAGAUAACCUGCUUGCAAUGCUUCAGCCCACAUGGAAACGGCUGUUUUAUGGCCAUUAUCAAGCCGUUGUGAUCCCUUUGUGUGGAUUUUUUUUUUUUUUCAACUUUUACAGUAUGCAAAGAGUCUGGUAUUUGCAGAGAUAUUCCUUCAUCUCCCCUGUCUCCCAUCAGACGUCUGCACGUCUGUCUUCUCGCUAAUGAAAACUGUCAGUUACCACCGUCUGUAGGCCCAACAAAUAUGAUGUGAUGUUUCUUUCCAUUUAUUUUAUACCACAAAUUAUAUGUAGCAUAUUAAAUGUGAUCUUAGUUUCCAUUUUACUCCUUGAGGAGAUUUCUGUGGUGCUGGCAGUAAUUAACAGUUAGUAUUCUGUCUUUUCUCAUUAGUUUUCAAGCCUGGAAAAUAUCCAAACAAAAUUUGAUUCU